UACGUAGGGUGCGAGCGUUAAUCGGAAUUACUGGGCGUAAAGCGUGCGCAGGCGGCUUUGCAAGACAGAUGUGAAAAUCCCCGGGCUUAACCUGGGAACUGCAUUGGUGACUGGCAGGCUUUGAGUGUGGCAGAGGGAGGUAGAAUUCCACGUGUAGCAGUGAAAAUGCGUAGAGAUGUGGAGGAAUACCGAUGCGAAGGCGGC
rnacentral:rRNA from 1 species